rnacentral:rRNA from 1 species
AUUGAACGCUAGCGGGAUGCCUUACACAUGCAAGUCGAACGGAGUGGCGAACGGGUGAGUAAUGUAUAGGAACGUGCCCAGUAGCGGGGGAUAACUACGCGAAAGCGUAGCUAAUACCGCAUACUAUUGGAUCGGCCGAGAUCGGAUUAGCUAGUUGGUGGGGUAACGGCUCACCAAGGCGACGAUCCGUAGCUGGUUUGAGAGGACGACCAGCCAAACUGGGACUGGGACACGGGCCAGACUCCUACGGGAGGCAGCAAUGGGGAAUUUUGGACAAAGGGGGAAAACCUGAUCCAGCCAACCCGCGGGUGCGAUGAAGGCCUUCGGGUUGUAAAGCACUUUUGGCAGGAAAGCGGUACCUGCAGAAUUAGGACCGGCUAACCACGGGCCAGCAGCCGCGGUAAUUAC